UCUUCUUGCGCUACUUGUCUGCUUGCACGAAGGAGGCGAAGACGCUGUCCUCCUUAUUCAGCAGGGCCUGGGGCUCGUCAUACUCCAGGAUGAUCCCCCGCUUCAUCACAAUCACCAGGUGUACCUAAUGUUGUGGCCAGUGAGUGUUAAUAAAAUAACUCCAACGUGGGAAAAGAACCAUAUGAUGUGGAUCCUGGUUUCUGUACUCAUGCAGCCCAAUCAUAAAUAAGUAUAUAUAUUAUUAUAUAUAUACCAGUGACCUCCACAUCCACCCCCCCCCCCAGCGUCAUCCCUGUAGGAAGACUGUGGUGGCAAACCCACUGACCGUUGCCAUGUCGAUGGACGCCGUGGCUUCAUCCAUGAU